UACGUAGGUGGCGAGCGUUGUCCGGAUUUACUGGACGUAAAGGGAGCGUAGGCGGACUUUUAAGUGAGAUGUGAAAUACUCGGGCUCAACUUGAGUGCUGCAUUUCAAACUGGAAGUCUAGAGUGCAGGAGAGAAGAAUGGAAUUCCUAGUGUAGCGGUGAAAUGCGUAGAGAUUAGGAAGAACACCAGUGGCGAAGGCGAUUCUCUGGACUGUAACUGACGCUGAGGCUCGAAAGCGUGGGGAGCAAACAGG
rnacentral:rRNA from 1 species